rnacentral:misc_RNA from 1 species
CUCUGAUGAGCCCAUUGUUGCCCCAAUAAACUACAAAAAUUAAUAUGGCAUGAUUACUAAUUAACCAAGAAGAUAAGAAUGAGAGCCACACAAUGAAACAUGGAGUUGUAUUGAAGAAGUGAAACAUACACUACUAGCAAACAAAUUAUAAAAGGCAACAGGAACCCUAUUUAUACAAGGAUAUCACAUGGAAAUUUUGCAAUACUGAACUUCAAUAUUGUUUCACUCCUCCAAACAAAGACAAGUAAAAAGAUCACUGAAUAGUUUUAAUCUUCUCUAUAAUAGACACCAAAAGUACCAAAACAAAGCAAAUGUCAAAUUUCACGGCAAUUUAUUCGUUUUAAAAUUAAAAUGUUAAUUUCCUUACAAAAGAAAAAAUAAAUUAAUU